rnacentral:rRNA from 1 species
CACGUAGGGGGCAAGCGUUGUCCGGAAUCAUUGGGCGUAAAGAGCUCGUAGGCGGCUCAGUAAGUCGGGUGUGAAACCCUCAGGCUCAACCUGGGGACGCCACCCGAUACUGCUGUGACUUGAGUCCGGUAGGGGACCACGGAAUACCUGGUGUAGCGGUGAAAUGCGCAGAUAUCAGGAGGAACACCGAUGGCGAAGGCAGAUCUCUGGGCAUUAACUGACGCUGAGGAGCGAAAGCAUGGGGAGCGAACAGG